GCACCCUUGUCCUUAGUUACCAGCACGUUAUGGUGGGCACUCUAGGGAGACUGCCGGUGACAAACCGGAGGAAGGUGGGGACGACGUCAAGUCAUCAUGGCCCUUACGGCCAGGGCUACACACGUGCUACAAUGGUGCAUACAGACGGUUGCCAAGCCGCAAGGUGGAGCUAAUCUGAGAAAGUGCAUCGUAGUCCGGAUUGGGGUCUGCAACUCGACCCCAUGAAGUCGGAAUCGCUAGUAAUCGUGAAUCAGAAUGUCACGGUGAAUACGUUCCCGGGCCUU
rnacentral:rRNA from 1 species